CCUUCUACCCAUCUGUGGAGAAAAGUAAGAGCCCACAGAAUUUCACUCAGCUUUUCCUGUCCCUCCUGCCACAUGAUGGUUAAUUUUAUGUGUCAACUUGACUGGCUAACAGAUGGGCUGUCAGAUAGCUCGUAAAAUGUUAUUUCUCGGUGUGUCCAUGUUUCUGGAAGAGAUUAUCAUUUGCAUCAUUAGACUGAGUAAAGUCACACCAAUUGGGGGGACAUCACUCAUUUAGUUGUGGGUCGGAAUAGAACAAAAAGGCGGAGAAAAGGAUGAAUUCGCCCUCUGCUCGAGCUGGGACAUCCAACUCCUUCUGCGCUCAAGAGAUCGGCUCCCUGGUGCUUAGACCUUUGGACUGGGACUGAAUUACACCACUGGUUUUCCGUGGCCUCCAGCUUAUAGACCACAGAUGGUGGGACUCCUCCACCUCCAUAAUCAUGAUGGAAGGGGCCACAUGAGAAGGCAUGUGGGCAGCUUCUCAGAACAAACUGCAGUCCCUGGCCCCCAGCCUGCCAGCAGACAGGGACCUCCAUCUUACACCUGCAGGGGACUGAAUUCCGUCAACACCUGAAGGAGCUUGAAAGGAAGUUCUCCCCCAGUAGCUCCAGGCUUAUCAUCCCAGAGUGGAUCUGAAUUCCUGAUCCUCUAUUUCCAGUAAUUUCAUGGGAGAAGUACAAGUUUGUUUACCCAGCAUGCCUAAUGACCAAUUAGUAGGCCAUACAGUCCUCACCUUCAUACUGGCAUCUUUUCUCAAGCCUCACUAAGCUGCCAGGAAAUUUGAUGCUGCAAAUUAGCACCAAUACAAUGAAUCUUUGCAAAUUAAUGAGGAUCACAGUGGGAAAGAACCUAUCAGCCACUCUGGUACCAAAACCCUCCUAGGCAAUAACCUGAAAUAAACCUUGGAGUCCUGACCCCAGACUAGUAGCCUGCUUCAUACUCUUUGAACAAAACAAUUAAAUAAUCACAUUCCUCAUGGCUCAACUUUCUGAAUGUAUUAAUUAGAUUAAAACACAAUUUGUCAGGAUCCCUCAAGAGGAAGGGUUUGCUGAACGUGUUUUCUCCUGCCCUCCAGCUUCCAAGGGCACACCUGCUUUCCUGUGGAGGGAGCCUGUCCCUGCCCAGACAAGCCUCUCUGCCACACUCCUGAUGGUAUUGCUUCCAGAACUGGCUCCCCCACACUCUCUUGGACUGGUCCACCGAUGGCAUGCUUUCUUCUCUCUACUUGGGCCAACAUCUGUCAUUCAGCUCUAUUUGUGUUACAAAUCCUGUCUUAAAAUACAGAAGCUGGUUGAUAACUCUUAUUGGCUCAUUUCCAACAUUCCAUCCAUCCAUCCAUCUAUCCACCCUGUUUAAGAUGAGCUUAAGUCCUCGUCUGCCUCUUCCGUUCUCUGCAACCCUAAGCAAACUACUUAACCUCUCUGUCAUUCAGUGCCCUCAUCUGUGAAAUGAGAAUGACAACAGGUCAGACCUCAUGUGGCUUAUAUGAGGAUUGAAGAGUUAAUUGCUGUGAAAUGAUUCUAAUAGCUCCUGGCUCAUUAAAUUGGCAGCAUCUUCGUACUAGGAUUUGGGGGAUUCGGGUAUGAAAAGGGCACUACUGUACCUGCCUCAAAGUACUAAAACACAAGGAAGAUCCAAUCGUACAUCCAGUUAGAUGCAGUGACAGAGAGAUGCCAGUGGCAUCCUAAGAGCACAGAGGCUGGGACUGGGAUGUGUGCAGCCAGGCCGUGGUGUUCCCUGCCAGGGCUCGGCAUGUGCAGCCAUUCAUCUUGCAGGGCUCUGCCAAGAUGCCCAAAAGCUUUAUUCUCUCACUUCAGUUGAGUCUCUCCCAAGUGAGAAGCCCUUUCUGACUCUCUUAACUAAAAUAUCAGCACCCACCGUGCCAUAUCACUCUCUGUUCCCAUUUCCUACACUAUUUUUCUUCAUAACAUUUAGCACUGGCUAGCAUUAUAUGAUGUAUUACUUUUAUUUUUAUUGGUUGCUCUCAAGUUUUGGCUCAUGCAACCUGGAAACUUGUUAGAACUGCAAAUCCUUGGGGCCCAUCCCAGACCUAGGAAAUCAGGACGUCUAGUGUUCUAACAAUCAUCUGCAGGUGAUUCUGUUAUUUACAUAACUUUGUGAACUUGGUUUAUAGUUUGUCUCCACGGGGGACUGGCAGCUUCUGGAAUCAGGGAUGUUUUUCAUUUUCUGUUUAUUACUGUAACCCCAACAUUUAGAUGUAUAUCUAACACAUAGUAGGAUUCAGUCAGUAGUUGUUGAAUGAACAAAUGGGUGACUACAUCUCACUUGGUGGCCAAGUGAAAAUCAGUACCCAACCAGUUCCCUACCACUGGAUCUAUUCUCUUUCACAACUUGGCUGCAUGAUACAAUUUCAACAUUAAAAGUUAAAUCAUUUCUAGUUAGGUUAAAAGGCUGGAAUUUUUUUUUUUUUUUGGCAUACAUAGACAUUUUUUUUUGUUGGAGAAGAUACUUAGAAAUUGCUUGGUAUUUAUAUAGGAAGAGAAGAUGCAUACAAACACUAUCAGAGGUCAUCAAAGCAGACCACUUGAGCGUAAGUUUACGUUGAAGCUGGUUUCAUAAUGCUCAGGAGAGUUUGAUAGGAACCCAGUUCGCAGAAGAUUUCUGCAGAGUAAAAAAAGAAAAAUUCUCACAUCUGAUAGGGUGCCUGCGUCCACCAGCAGCACAAACCUACCAAAGGGAGUGGAGCAGGCAGGGGA